rnacentral:rRNA from 1 species
GACGAACGCUGGCGGCGUGCUUAACACAUGCAAGUCGAACGGAAAGGCCCUGCUUUUGUGGGGUGCUCGAGUGGCGAACGGGUGAGUAACACGUGAGUAACCUGCCCUUGACUUUGGGAUAACUUCAGGAAACUGGGGCUAAUACCGGAUAGGAGCUCCUGCUGCAUGGUGGGGGUUGGAAAGUUUCGGCGGUUGGGGAUGGACUCGCGGCUUAUCAGCUUGUUUGGUGGGGUAGUGGCUUACCAAGGCUUUGACGGGUAGCCGGCCUGAGAGGGUGACCGGCCACAUUGGGACUGAGAUACGGCCCAGACUCCUACGGGAGGCAGCAGUGGGGAAUAUUGCACAAUGGGCGGAAGCCUGAUGCAGCAACGCCGCGUGCGGGAUGACGGCCUUCGGGUUGUAAACCGCUUUCGCCUGUGACGAAGCGUGAGUGACGGUAAUGGGUAAAGAAGCACCGGCUAACUACGUG